UGGCUCAGAACGAACGCUGGCGGCGUGCUUAAUACAUGCAAGUCGAGCGAUCGGCCUCGGGGGCUUGCCCCUGAGGUACGGAGCGGCGAACGGGUGAGUAACACGUGAGCAACCUGCCUCGGAGACGGGGAUAACGUUGGGAAACCAGCGCUAAUACCCGAUGACCCGGUAGGGGGGCAUCCCCCAGCCGGCAAAUGUUCCGGCGCUCCGAGAGGGGCUCACGGCCUAUCAGCUUGUUGGCGGGGUAACGGCCCAGGCAAGGCUUCGACGGGUAACUGGCGUGAGAGCGCGACCAGUCACACCGGGACUGAGAUACGAACCCGACUCCUACGG
rnacentral:rRNA from 1 species